AUCUAGGACGAGUCUCAAAUAGGACGAAACGCGCGUUUUGGAU
rfam:Schistosoma mattheei strain Denwood, Zambia genome assembly, scaffold: SMTD_scaffold0007951